AUACGGAGGGGGCUAGCGUUGUUCGGAUUUACUGGGCGUAAAGCGCGCGUAGGCGGUAUAUCAAGUUAGGCGUGAAAGCCCCGGGCUCAACCCGGGAACUGCGCUUAUUACUGAUAAACUAGAGUCCGGGAGAGGGUGGCAGAAUUCCCAGUGUAGAGGUGAAAUUCGUAGAUAUUGGGAAGAACACCAGUUGCGAAGGCGGCCACCUGGACCGGUACUGACGCUGAGGUGCGAAAGCGUGGGGAGCAAACAGGAUUAGAUACCCCGGUAGUCC
rnacentral:rRNA from 1 species